CUACGGGACGCUGCAGUGGGGAAUAUUGGACAAUGGGGGAAACCCUGAUCCAGCAAUGCCGCGUGUGUGAAGAAGGCCUGCGGGUUGUAAAGCACUUUCGGUUGGGAGGACUGCUUCUAGCACUAAUAUUGUUGGAAGUUGACGUUACCUUCAGAAGAAGCACCGGCUAACUCCGUGCCAGCAGCCGCGGUAAUACGGAGGUGCAAGCGUUAAUCGGAAUUACUGGGCGUAAAGCGCGCGUAGGCGGCUAGAUCAGUCGGGUGUGAAAGCCCCGGGCUUAACCUGGGAACCGCAUCCGAUACUGUCUAGCUUGAGUACAGGAGAGGAGAGUGGAAUUCCACAUGUAGCGGUGAAAUGCGUAGAUAUGUGGAGGAACACCAAUGGCGAAGGCAGCUCUCUGGCCUGAUACUGACGCUGAGGUGCGAAAGCGUGGGGAGCAAACAGGAUUAGAUACCCCCGUAGUC
rnacentral:rRNA from 1 species